rnacentral:lncRNA from 1 species
AAAUUAUUGGGAUGGAUCAACUAGUCUGUAUACUGGGAAAUUAUAAUAAUCAAUAAAAGGUAUCUCAUUUUCAUAUCUAGCCUCAAUUACUAUUAACAGAGAAGGCCUUAAAAAAAUGCCUACUGGAAACUAAAAUUGAACGAAACCUAUCAAACUUAAUAUAGACCAAAACAAAUUUAGGGAGAUUUUUUAAAAAUCCAAACUCAUUUAUUAAAUCAACACUUAUGCCAAAUGUCUAACCUUACCUAGAGAAAUAUUAUGCUAUUACUUAGGUAAACUUUAAAGUAGAGGGUCAUCUUAAAAACAGUUUUAAAGGAAAUUUAUCUUGGCCAUGUUCCAAUGACACAAGUAGGAACAGGCCUAAUAGUUUAUCUGGGACAUAGACAAUUUCCUGGGGACACGUAGAAUCCUACAGGUAAACCAAAUGCCUAGAAAAUAAUUUUAGUAAGCUUUUCAAAAAUCCUACUGUUUUCAUGGAGAAACUCAAAAGGAUAGUAUAACACCCUGAAUUUAUAGGGGACCACCCAUUUUCAAAAGAUGAGUUCAUCAUCCAGUUAGCCCUAGACAUUCCAGGAGAUUUUCACAGAUUAAUAAUUCUAGCCAAGUUUAGGUAUUACACCAUAAUUAAAUAGAGCCCAAACAGAAAAAGAAAGGCAAACAUACUGACAGAAAGAAAUUGAAAUGCUAAUCUUACCCCAAGAAAAAUAAACUUCCCAGUUAAAAAUUUUACUCCUUUACUAAGUUAUAAACAGAUUUUAGAGACCUCUAAACAUUCAAACAGGGCCCCUGUCAACAGUGUAUCACUAAGAAAAAUGACUCUAGAAAUAAUUAUCCGUGAAAUAUUAGACAGACAGCUAUAAAUAAAUCAGCUCAACAGCCAAUAGCUAAUUUCAAUAAGAAAUUUAACAUGGCAGAGCUUUUCUCAACUUUAAUAAUAUGAGAUAAUGCCCUACAUACAUUGAUAUGUUUGAAAUAAGUAAAGUCAUCAUAAAUUAU